UGAUGAACAUUCCAUUAACAUGAUGAACAUUUCAGUAUCAUGAUGAACAUUCUAUUAACAUGAUGAACAUUCCAUUAGCAUGAUGAGACUAUCAUCUUAAUUACAUUAAGGAUGACGAAGUUCAUAUGAACUUACCUUGGUACUUACCCUUACCCAUAACUUCUUACAUGGUUCCCUAUAUACAACAUACCAAACUUCAUUUAUAAAUAAGAAGUGAUUACCUUAAGCGUCCGUUUCAUACUUGCUUCCUCGCAUCCUUCCCGUUAGCCUUCCACGCUUCCACCCACCUUGACAUGAUCUUAUACUUUCAUGUCAUUAUGGUUACCGCGUUAUUAGCAUACACGCACAUUCUAAAUUACAUUCAUUUCACAUUCAUAUUCUAUAUUGGCCUUUACUAGUCAAUCCCAACCACACAAUAAAUAAGAUAACAAUCACAUCUUUUCAUUCCACAUAAUUCUUUAUAUCGUCACAUAUAACAUUUAUUUAUAGAGCAUGUGGCUUGCGAUUUCCCUAACAUUACAUUUGUGGCCAAAUGCCUUACUAUGCUAUUUAUGCACAGUUGACUUUUAGAAAGUCAACUGUCCAUUAUAUGAAUUAUCAACAUAAGCUCAUACAUUCUCAACAUUAAUAGAUUAUACUACGGACAUCAUACACAUUUCAUCCUCAUAUAGCAAUACAUAUAUAACUACAUGAUUGUCUAGUUGUAUGCACACAAAACAUAAUCAAUUUCUUCCAUACUAGUAAUAUCAUGAUUUUACAAUUAACAACAUUGUCCAAGCUUAGUUAACACACAUAGCUUCCCAACCUCACUGCUUACUAAUAUACGCACUUUCUACACACUUAACACCAAAUCACAUUUGAUUUCAUCUAACCAUAAGUAAAUCAACACAUAAUGUGCAUCAUAUUACCCAAGCAUAGAGUACAACUUCUAGUGCAUACUUUUUACCAAAUCAUAUAAUUAACCAAAAUCCUACAUGUAUUCCAUUCAAAACAUAUUUCUCAUGUUUAAUUAUCACCUAAUUACAUCACAUCCACACAUUAUACACUUUCAUUCAUCAUUUGCAUACCAUUUCAUUUAUUAAUCUCACCUAGGCAUUUCAACAAACACUUGGUGUGCGUACUACUUUCUAAACACAUUUUACAAGCAUCUUAUGCUCAUCUUCCUACUUUUUGCCUUCAUCAAUCAAAUACAACUAAAAUCAACCAAAUUCUAUACCAUACUCAACCUAUCUAACAAGUAUUCAUCACAUACAAUAUACGACAUCAAAUUUUGAACAAGGAUUGGAAAUGGGUGUUAUACCCAUGUCGCCAUUUUCACUAACCCAAGUGGGUUUCACCUUCAAAUAUCAAAUUACUUGAUAUCAUACAUAAAACAAGUUCUAUUUGGCCAUUCUAACACAUAUACAUGCUCUAUUUCAACAAAUUUCAGGAUUGAAUCAUAAACCCACUUCAUACAAAUCAUCAAAUUAGAUUCUACAACAUACCAUGUGUUUGUUAGGACUUGAUGAAGCAAAUUCUUCAUCCAUGAAUGAGGUAUACCCUUGGACGCCGGACGACGAUCAAGCUCAAUGAAGAACCGAACACGAUCAAGAUACAAGCAUACCUUAGUUCAACAUUUUUGAUAGACCCUUUGAUUUUAAAGGUCUUGUGUUCACGAGCCAAAUCAAAAAAACAUACCACUCUGAGUAUUAGGCAGAUCCUAUAUAUUAUUAACAAAUAACAAGAAAAUUAACUUUUCAUCAAUAUAAAAUAAUAAACCCAGAAAUAUAUAAGAAUGCUUACCCCCACAGGAGCAAUCAUCGCUACAUCGAUUCUAAUUUUCGCAUCUUCAGGAUCUUUAUUCUUCUUGGA